rnacentral:tRNA from 1 species
GCAGCCAUAGCUCAAUUGGAUAGAGUAGCGGACUUCGAAUCCGUUGGUUAGGGGUUCGACUCCCUUUGGCUGCACCA